GUCUAAGGCCAUGCCACCCUGAAGAUGCCCGAUCCUGUCUGAUCUCAGAAGCUAAGCAGGGUCAGGCCUGGUUAGUACUUGGAUGGGAGACCACCUAGGAAGACCAGGUACUGUAGGCA
rnacentral:rRNA from 1 species